rnacentral:rRNA from 1 species
CCUACGGGUGGCUGCAGUGAGGAAUCUUGGUCAAUGGACGCAAGUCUGAACCCGCAAUGCCGCGUGCAGGAUGACGGCUCUAUGAGUUGUAAACUGCUUUUGUACGAGGGUAAAACCCGAUACGUGUAUCGGGUUGCAAGUAUCGUCCGAAUAAGGCUCGGCUAACUCCGUGCCAGCAGCCGCGGUAAUACGGAGGAUCCGAGCGUUCUCCGGAUUUAUUGGGUUUAAAGGGUGCGUAGGCGGUUUGAUAAGUUAGAUGUGAAAUGUCGGGGCUCAACCCCGAAACUGCCUCUAAUACUGUUGGACUUGAGAAUAGUUGCGGUAGGCGGAAUGUAUGGUGUAGCGGUGAAAUGCUUAGAGAUCAUACAGAACACCGAUGGCGAAGGCAGCUUACCAAACUAUAUCUGACGUUGAGGCACGAAAGCGUGGGUAGCAAACAGGAUUAGAUACCCUUGUAGUC